GAGGACCAGGACAUGGGGGCACAGAGGUUGAUCUUCUGGCUCCUCCUGCUCGGGUUUGCCGGUUACCCAGACACAAACCCAGUCCAUAUUCUGCCUGACCAUUUCCGUCUUGGGCCUGAUGUUUUUGGAAUUCUGUGGAAGUUGACCAUUAUUAUUACUUCUUUGGGAAUUUCUGCAUUUUUAAUUUUCCUCUGGAGAACCGUCCUUGCUGUAAAGCCUCGAGUAUAUCAAGUUAAUUUACAUCAAAUUUCUGAGAAGAAGAAGAAUUACUUGAAAGAAAACUCAGAACUGGCCGAAAAAAUAU